rnacentral:rRNA from 1 species
AGAGUUUGAUCCUGGCUCAGAACGAACGCUGGCGGCGUGGAUAAGACAUGCAAGUCGAACGGGACAGUUUUGUAGCAAUAUGAAGCUGUUCAGUGGCGAACGGGUGCGUAACACGUGGAUACAUUCCGGGAAGUGAGAAAUAGCCCAGGGAAACUUGGAUUAAUAUCUCAUGUGGUCGCAAGACUAAAGGCGCAAGCCGCUUCCUGAUUGGUCCGCGGCCUAUCAGCUAGUUGGUGAGGUAAAGGCUCACCAAGGCGACGACGGGUAGCUGGUCUGAGAGGACGACCAGCCACACUGGAACUGAGACACGGUCCAGACACCUACGGGUGGCAGCAGUCGAGAAUCUUUCACAAUGGGGGAAACCCUGAUGGAGCGACGCCGCGUGGAGGUUAAGGUCUUCGGAUUGUAAACUCCUGUCAUGCGAGAACAAAGCCCGCAAGGGUGUGAUAGUACCGCAAGAGGAAGAGACGGCUAACUCUGUGCCAGCAGCCGCGGUAAUUCA